GUCGCGCCUCUGACUGGGUCAGAGGCUUCUGAGGAGCGGGAAGGGACGUUGAGAGCAUUGUGACACUGUCACGCAGUCAUGAUGUCACUGGGGUGAAGAUGAUCUCUCUCUGCUGCAGCAUUCCAGUCUGUGACCUGAUGACACUCGGGGUGCCAGAGGAGGUCCAGUCUCCACAAGCCAGUCUGCCUUUGGAGUGCUGGGGUUGUCCGUGUGUGCACUGCAUUCAGAGCAAACUUACUGAGACCUGACUUCGAGGCCCUGAGUUUGCCAGAACUCCAGAGAGAAGCUUGAAACCAAAACUGUCUCCAGAGCAUGUUUUAAGAAACGAACUGUAGGAGCGAGAGAUGUGGCUCAGUGGUUAGAGCACUUGUUGCUUUUGCAGAAGACCCAAGUUUGGUUCCCAGUAUCUACCUGGUGGCUCACAGCCAUCUAUAACUCCAUCUUCAGGGACCUGAUUCCACUUCUGUCCUCUAUGGACUUCAGACAUCCACACAGUGCACAUACAUACAGGCAAAACACUCAAACACAUAAAUAAAAUUAAAUAAAAAACUAUUUAUUUAGCUGGGUGGGUAGUGGCUUGUGCCUUUAAUCCCAGCUCUUGGGAUGAGUUUGAGGCUGCCCCGAUCUACAGAACAAGUACAUAAAGAAACCCUGUCUUGACACCCCCCCCCAAAAAAAACCUUCAAAACAAAAAACAAACAAACAAACAAAAAAAUGAAAACAAACUACCAAGGAAAGCCAGCAAAAAGAAAGAAGGAAAAAUAAUAUCCAGUGAUGGUUACCAAUGUGGGGUGGGUGGGAGAGAGGAGUAUCAAUACACUGCUGGUGGGCAUUAAAUAAAUGCUGUCAUUAUAGAAAUUAUAUAACGGCUAGAGCUACUACAUCAACAGCCAUACCCCUUCUGGUGCCUGCACAGCCAUGUGAAUUAUAGCAAUAUUCAUGAAUACCAAGAUAUAGAAUUAAUCUAAGGACCCAGCCACAGCUGAGUGGACAAAGAAAAUAAGCCAUAUGUAGGCUAGGGAAUGUGGCUCAAUUAUUAUGGUGUUUGCUUAGCAUGAAGUCCUGGGUUCAGUUCCCAGUAUUGCACAUCUGUCUUCCAGAACUCAGAAGGUAAAGGGAGGGAGAUCAGAAGUUCAAGGCCAUUCUCAGCUACCUGUCAAAUUUAAAGCCAAGCUAGGCUACAUGAGGAAGAAGACAAAGGAAAAAAGAAAGAAAAUGCAAUAUAUACACAUAAUAGAGGGCUUUUUGGUUUUGUUUUUGUUUUGUGGCCAUUAAACACUAACAACGCCAGUCGUGGUGAUUCAUGUUUAUAAUCCCAGCCCUUGGCAAGCUGAGACAAGAGGAUUGCUCUUAGUUCAAGGCCAGCCUGGGCUACAGAGGAAGCUACAAAAUAAGACCUUGUCCCAAAACCAAACCCAGUAUAUGGAAGUAAAAGGGGAGCGAGUGGGGCAGGGAACAAGUGUGGGCAAACAGUGUGUGACAGACACUGAAAUGUCAUGAUGAAGCCCGGCUUUUUGUAUGGUCAUUUUUUAAAAAAAAGUAGAAAGUUUGGAAAUGUCUGUUGACCUGUAUCCCAGAGGUAACAGUAAACAGAUGGUUUCUUGUUCCAGAUGUUUGUUUGGUUGUUUGAGACAAGGCAUCAUGCUGUACACCAGGCUGGCUUUGAUCUUGCAGCCAUCCGUCUGCCCCAGCCUCUCCACAGCUGGGAUUUCAGGUGUGCCCCACCGCUCCCAGCUGGAGACAUUUUCUGAUUUUAGGUGUGUGCUCCCCGUGUGGUUUCUUAUUUAGCAGAAGUGAGAUGUCAGAGCACCGCAGUUGGCACUGUAGUGCUUUUAGCUAUACCGAAUGCUUUUUUAAAAUGUAUGGUUAUUAUUUAAUUACGUGUAAAUAUCAGCACAAGAGUGCAGGUGCCCACAGAGGCUCUGGCCUGGAUAGAGUUACAGAUAUCCAACGAGGUCGCUGGGAGUUGGAACUCUGGUCCUCGGGAGAAACGGUGCAUGCUCUUAACCACUGAGCCACCUCUUCAGCCCCCAAAUUCUUUCUUUUUUUUUUUUUUUAAAGAAUUAUUUAUUUAUUUUAUGUAUAUGAGUACACUGUAGCUGUCUGCAGACACACCAGAAGAGGGCACCGGAUCCCAUUACAGAUGGUUGUGAGCCACCAUGUGAUUGCUGGGAAUUGAACUCAAGAUCUCUGGAGGAGCAGUCAGUGCUCUUAACCGCUGAGCCAUCUCUCCAGCCCCAAAUUCUUUUUUAAUGUUACACAGUAUGCCUUUGUUGCCGUGAACACUAAACAUCUAAACACAUCCACAAAAUUCCUAGAAAUUGAACCAAAUCACUUCUUAAUUUUUAAUUGGUUUUUUUGGUCCUUUUGAUUAUAUUGAAUUAUUUACGUUGUGGAGGUGGGAGUUUGUACAUGCCAGCAGAGAUACCAAAGGAGUGGGCUGUCCUCUACCAUGGGAGUCCCAAGGACAGAACCCAGGUCAUCAAGCUUAUCAACUGUCUUUACCCACUGAACCAUCUCAUAAGCCCCUGUUGUUGUUUUGAGAUAAGGUCUUGCUAUGUAGCUUAGGCUGGCUUUGAACUUUCAGUCUCCUGCCUUAGCCUCCCUUGAACUGGAAUUGCAGACAUGGGAUACCAUACCUGGCAAAUAGAAUAUAUUGUCUUAUAUUUUUUUUAAAUGGAGCCUUGCUAUAUAAACCAUACAGACUUCAAAUUUGAAA
ensembl:lncRNA LOC102552690 uncharacterized LOC102552690